CUUGCGGUCAUAUUUUGUUGCAACACCAGUUCCCGUACGAUCCCCGAAGUUAAAUAACGACGAGUCAGGUCAGUACUUACAUGGGUGAUCUCUUAGGAAUAUCAGGA